CUGGCGGCGUGCCUAACACAUGCAAGUCGAACGAGAAAGUGGAGCAAUCCAUGAGUAAAGUGGCGACCGGGUGAGUAACACGUGACUAACCUACCUCCGAGUGGGGAAUAACUCCGGGAAACCGGGGCUAAUACCGCAUAACAUCGCAAGAUCAAAGCAGCAAUGCGCUUGGAGAGGGGGUCGCGGCUGAUUAGCUAGUUGGCGGGGUAACGGCCCACCAAGGCGAAGAUCGGUAUCCGGCCUGAGAGGGCGCACGGGCACACUGGAACUGAAACACGGUCCAGACUCCUACGGGAGGCAGCAGUGGGGAAUUUUGCGCAAUGGGGGAAACCCUGACGCAGCAACGCCGCGUGGAGGAUGAAGCCCUUUGGGGCGUAAACUCCUUUCGACUCGGACGAUAAUGACGGUACGAGUGGAAGAAGCACCGGCUAACUCUGUGCCAGCAGCCGCGGUAAUACAGAGGGUGCGAGCGUUGUUCGGAAUUAUUGGGCGUAAAGGGCGCGUANGCGGUGCGGCAAGUCACCUGUGAAAUCUCCCGGCUUAACUGG
rnacentral:rRNA from 1 species